rnacentral:rRNA from 1 species
UACAUGGGGUGCAAACGUUGCUCGGAAUCAUUGGGCGUAAAGCGCGCGUAGGCGGUUACUUAAGUCGAAUGUGAAAGCCCUCGGCUUAACCGAGGAAGUGCAUCCGAAACUGAGUAGCUAGAGUACGAAAGAGGGUCGCGGAAUUCCCGGUGUAGAGGUGAAAUUCGUAGAUAUCGGGAGGAACACCGGUGGCGAAGGCGGCGACCUGGGUCGAGACUGACGCUGAGGCGCGAAAGCGUGGGGAUCAAACAGG